UGAGGAAUAUUGGUCAAUGGGCGAGAGCCUGAACCAGCCAAGUCGAGUGAAGGAAGACAGUCCUAAGGAUUGUAAACUUCUUUUAUACGGGAAUAACGGGCGAUACGAGUAUUGCAUUGAAUGUACCGUAAGAAUAAGCAUCGGCUAACUCCGUGCCAGCAGCCGCGGUAAUACGGAGGAUGCGAGCGUUAUCCGGAUUUAUUGGGUUUAAAGGGUGCGUAGGUUGUUCGGUAAGUCAGCGGUGAAACCUGAGCGCUCAACGUUCAGCCUGCCGUUGAAACUGCCGGGCUUGAGUUCAGUGGCGGCAGGCGGAAUUCGUGGUGUAGCGGUGAAAUGCAUAGAUAUCACGAGGAACUCCGAUUGCGAAGGCAGCUUGCCAUACUGCGACUGACACUGAAGCACGAAGGCGUGGGUAUCAAACAGG
rnacentral:rRNA from 1 species